rnacentral:rRNA from 1 species
UACGUAGGGUGCGAGCGUUAAUCGGAAUUACUGGGCGUAAAGCGUGCGUAGGCGGUCCGCGAAGUCUGAUGUGAAAUCCCCGGGCUUAACCUGGGAACUGCACUUGAAACUACGAUGCUGGAGUAUGGCAGAGGGAGGUGGAAUUCCACGUGUAGCGGUGAAAUGCGUAGAGAUGUGGAGGAACACCGAUGGCGAAGGCAGCCUCCUGGGCCAAUACUGACGCUCAUGCACGAAAGCGUGGGGAGCAAACAGG